GAUGAAGAACGCAGCGAAAUGCGAUAAGUAAUGUGAAUUGCAGAAUCCAGUGAAUCAUCGAAUCUUUGAACGCACAUUGCGCCCGCCAGCAUUCUGGCGGGCAUGCCUGUUCGAGCGUCAUUUCAACCCUCGACCUCCCUUUGGGGAAGUCGGCGUUGGGGACCGGCAGCACACCGCCGGCCCUGAAAUGGAGUGGCGGCCCGUCCGCGGCGACCUCUGCGUGGUAAACCAACUCGCACCGGAACCCCGACGUGGCCACGCCGUAAAACACCCAACUUCUGAACGUUGACCUCGAAUCAGGUAGGACUACCCGCUGAACUUAAGCAUAUCAAUAAGCGGAGGA
rnacentral:misc_RNA from 1 species